rnacentral:rRNA from 1 species
CUGUCUUAGUGGCGGACGGGUGGAGUAACGCGUGGGCGAACCUGCCCUGUACCGGGGGAGUAACACUUAGAAAUAGGUGCUAAUACCGCAUAAUAGGGAAUACGCAUGGUAAUCCUUUGAAAACUCCGGUGGUACAGGAUGGGCCCGCGUCUGAUUAGCCAGUUGGCGGGGUAACGGCCCACCAAAGCGACGAUCAGCAGCCGGCCUGAGAGGGUGGACGGCCACACUGGGACUGAGACACGGCCCAGACUCCUACGGAAGGCAGCAG